rnacentral:rRNA from 1 species
UAAGCGGAGGAAAAGAAACUAACGAGGAUUUCCUUAGUAACGGCGAGCGAACCGGAAGUAGCCCAGCUUGAAAAUCGCGCGGUCCCGCCGCGCGAAUUGUAGUCUGGAGAAGCGUCCUCUGCAGCGGACCGGGCCCAAGUUUCCUGGAACGGAGCGUCGGAGAGGGUGAGAGCCCCGUCGAGCUCGGACCCUGCUGCUCCACGAGGCGCUGUCGACGAGUCGGGCUG